UCCAAGAAACAGCUAGCAAGCAACAUGGGCUGCCUAGAGCUGAUGCAUUUCUGAGAUGCUCUGAGCCUCCCUCUCUAUGGUUGUGGGAGGAGCUUCAGCAUGAACCCCACGUCACAGCAGGCACUGAAUCUGAAAUAUACAGUGCGGCUAGCGGACCCGUGGUUUCAGCAACCUAACCAACUUGAAACCAAGGGCUCAAAUUGAAGUUUCAAGGUACUAGCAGAACCACAGUUGGGAAGAAAUCCUGCAUUUGGCUGCCCCUGCCCCCUUGUUGACUGGUAAAAGCGGAAGAAUGUAUUGGCACAUGGCAAGGUUGGAGGGAGUCCCAGGACACCAUUUGAAGAUGGGCUGAAUGAACAGUGCACGCAAAGCCCGGGAAGUCGCAAGUGGCCCCUGGAUUUUCUGCACCCACUAUGUGGUUCAGGAAUGAAACCUGCUGCACAGAUUUUAACGCAACAGUUCUCAAACUGCAGUUCUGUCUUAUUUAUACACAACAUUAGAUUUCAGUGCUCCUUCUAAAACACCUUGCAGUAAUUUACAAGACAGUAAACAGAUAAAAAGAAAGACAAAUGACAGAUAAAAUCACACUUAGAAUGUUAACUUUUAUAAUUUAAGUAAUUCAUGUUGAUGGAGAGUUGGAAUAAUUUAUUUAUUUUUUAAAUCAUUCUAGACAGUCCUACAGUAAGUAUUUUGUGGGAACAUUGCCCAAAAUCCUGUAUUAUGUUUUGGUCUAGGUUUUUUAAAACAGUAACCAGUUGAUUUUGAACAAAAUAUU